rnacentral:rRNA from 1 species
GUGCCAGCCGCCGCGGUAACACGUAGGGUGCGAGCGUUGUCCGGAAUUAUUGGGCGUAAAGAGCUCGUAGGCGGUGUGUCGCGUCGGCCGUGAAAACUUGGGGCUUAACUCUGAGCGUGCGGUCGAUACGGGCAUCACUUGAGUUCGGCAGGGGAGACUGGAAUUCCUGGUGUAGCGGUGAAAUGCGCAGAUAUCAGGAGGAACACCGGUGGCGAAGGCGGGUCUCUGGGCCGAUACUGACGCUGAGGAGCGAAAGCAUGGGGAGCGAACAGGAUUAGAUACCCUGGUAGUCC